rnacentral:misc_RNA from 1 species
GAUUCAAGUAAUGCUUAUGAUUUUAUGAACUACUCCGUCUCAAAGGGAUACAAGUUAGAUUCAUGGGAAUUUGGUAAUGAAUUGAGUGGAAGUGGCAUUGGUGCCAGUGUCAGUGCAGAACUCUAUGGGAAAGAUGUGAUCAACCUUAAAGAAAUUAUCAAGGAUUUGUAUAAGAAAUCUAAUUUCAAACCUUCACUUGUAGCACCUGGAGGAUUUUAUAACCAGCAGUGGUAUGCUAAACUUCUUCAGGUUUCAGGUUCAGGCAUAGUCAAUGUUAUGACUCAUCAUAUAUACAACUUAGGUGCAGGUGU